UAAGCAAAAAACUCUUAUGCACAUGCGCAC
rnacentral:piRNA from 1 species